rnacentral:miRNA from 1 species
AGCUACAUUGUCUGCUGGGUUA